rnacentral:rRNA from 1 species
AAGCUCGUAGUUGAAUUUCGGGGUUCUACCGUUGGUCGGGCUAACAAGUCUGUACUAGCGUGUAGAAUCCCUACCUUCUGGGGAACCAUCAUGUUAUUAAUUUAGCGUGGCGGGAAACCAGGACCUUUACCUUGAAAAAAUUAGAGUGUUCAAAGCAGGCUUACGUCUGAAUACAUUAGCAUGGAAUAAUAAAAUAGGACGGUGGUCCUGUUUUGUUGGUUUCUGAAUCACCGUAAUGAUUAAUAGGGAUAGUUGGG